rnacentral:rRNA from 1 species
GGUUAAGUGACUAAGCGUACACGGUGGAUGCCUAGGCAGUCAGAGGCGAUGAAGGGCGUGCUAAUCUGCGAAAAGCGUCGGUAAGGUGAUAUGAACCGUUACAACCGGCGAUACCCGAAUGGGGAAACCCAGUGUGUUUCGACACACUAUCAUGUCAUGAAUACAUAGUGGCAUGAGGCGAACCGGGGGAACUGAAACAUCUAAGUACCCCGAGGAAAAGAAAUCAACCGAGAUUCCCCCAGUAGCGGCGAGCGAACGGGGAGGAGCCCAGAACCUGAAUCGGCUUGUGUGUUAGUGGAAGCGUCUGGAAAGUCGCGCAGCAAAGGGUGAUAGCCCCGUACACUAAAAUGCACAGGUCGUGAGUUCGAUGAGUAGGGCGGGACACGUGACAUCCUGUCUGAAUAUGGGGGGACCAUCCUCCAAGGCUAAAUACUCCUGACUGACCGAUAGUGAACCAGUACCGUGAGGGAAAGGCGAAAAGAACCCCGGCGAGGGGAGUGAAAUAGAACCUGAAACCGUGUACGUACAAGCAGUGGGAGCACCUUCGUGGUGUGACUGCGUACCUUUUGUAUAAUGGGUCAGCGACUUAUAUUUUGUAGCAAGGUUAACCGUAUAGGGGAGCCGUAGGGAAACCGAGUCUUAACUGGGCGAAUAGUUGCAAGGUAUAGACCCGAAACCCGGUGAUCUAGCCAUGGGCAGGUUGAAGGUUGGGUAACACUAACUGGAGGACCGAACCGACUAAUGUUGAAAAAUUAGCGGAUGACUUGUGGCUGGGGGUGAAAGGCCAAUCAAACCGGGAGAUAGCUGGUUCUCCCCGAAAGCUAUUUAGGUAGCGCCUCGUGAACUCAUCUUCGGGGGUAGAGCACUGUUUCGGCUAGGGGGCCAUCCCGGCUUACCAAACCGAUGCAAACUCCGAAUACCGAAGAAUGUUAUCACGGGAGACACACGGCGGGUGCUAACGUCCGUCGUGAAGAGGGAAACAACCCAGACCGCCAGCUAAGGUCCCAAAGUCAUGGUUAAGUGGGAAACGAUGUGGGAAGGCACAGACAGCCAGGAUGUUGGCUUAGAAGCAGCCAUCAUUUAAAGAAAGCGUAAUAGCUCACUGGUCGAGUCGGCCUGCGCGGAAGAUGUAACGGGGCUAAACCAUGCACCGAAGCUGCGGCAGCGACGCUUAGGCGUUGUUGGGUAGGGGAGCGUUCUGUAAGCCGUUGAAGGUGGCCUGUGAGGGUUGCUGGAGGUAUCAGAAGUGCGAAUGCUGACAUAAGUAACGAUAAAGCGGGUGAAAAGCCCGCUCGCCGGAAGACCAAGGGUUCCUGUCCAACGUUAAUCGGGGCAGGGUGAGUCGACCCCUAAGGCGAGGCUGAAAAGCGUAGUCGAUGGGAAACAGGUUAAUAUUCCUGUACUUGGUGUUACUGCGAAGGGGGGACGGAGAAGGCUAGGCUAGCCGGGCGACGGUUGUCCCGGUUUAAGCGUGUAGGGGGUGUGACCUGGUAAAUCCGGUUGCAUACUAACCCUGAGGCGUGAUGACGAUGCACUACGGUGCAGAAGUAGUUGAUGCCCUGCUUCCAGGAAAAUCCUCUAAGCUCCAGGUAACAUUNNNNNNNNNNNNNNNGAAGCCAGUCGAAGAUACCAGCUGGCUGCAACUGUUUAAUAAAAACACAGCACUGUGCAAACACGAAAGUGGACGUAUACGGUGUGACGCCUGCCCGGUGCUGGAAGGUUAAUUGAUGGGGUCAGCCGCAAGGCGAAGCUCUUGAUCGAAGCCCCAGUAAACGGCGGCCGUAACUAUAACGGUCCUAAGGUAGCGAAAUUCCUUGUCGGGUAAGUUCCGACCUGCACGAAUGGCGUAAUGAUGGCCAGGCUGUCUCCACCCGAGACUCAGUGAAAUUGAACUCGCUGUGAAGAUGCAGUGUACCCGCGGCAAGACGGAAAGACCCCGUGAACCUUUACUAUAGCUUGACACUGAACAUUGAGCCUUGAUGUGUAGGAUAGGUGGGAGGCUUUGAAGCGUGGACGCCAGUCUGCGUGGAGCCAUCCUUGAAAUACCACCCUUUAAUGUUUGAUGUUCUAACUCUGCCCCAUAAUCUGGGGUGAGGACAGUGUCUGGUGGGUAGUUUGACUGGGGCGGUCUCCUCCCAAAGAGUAACGGAGGAGCACGAAGGUUAGCUAAUCACGGUCGGACAUCGUGAGGUUAGUGCAAAGGCAUAAGCUAGCUUGACUGCGAGAGUGACGGCUCGAGCAGGUACGAAAGUAGGUCUUAGUGAUCCGGUGGUUCUGAAUGGAAGGGCCAUCGCUCAACGGAUAAAAGGUACUCCGGGGAUAACAGGCUGAUACCGCCCAAGAGUUCAUAUCGACGGCGGUGUUUGGCACCUCGAUGUCGGCUCAUCACAUCCUGGGGCUGAAGUAGGUCCCAAGGGUAUGGCUGUUCGCCAUUUAAAGUGGUACGCGAGCUGGGUUUAGAACGUCGUGAGACAGUUCGGUCCCUAUCUGCCGUGGGCGUUGGAAGAUUGAGAGGGGUUGCUCCUAGUACGAGAGGACCGGAGUGAACGCACCACUGGUGUUCGGGUUGUCAUGCCAAUGGCAUUGCCCGGUAGCUAAGUGCGGAAAAGAUAAGCGCUGAAAGCAUCUAAGCGCGAAACUUGCCUCAAGAUGAGUCUUCCCUGGGCCUUUAAGGCCCCUGAAGGAACGUUUAAGACUAAGACGUUGAUAGGCUGGGUGUGUAAGUGCAGCGAUGCAUUGAGCUAACCAGUACUAAUGAUCCGUGAGGCUUAACCUU